rnacentral:rRNA from 1 species
GACGUAGGGCGCGAGCGUUGUCCGGAUUUAUUGGGCGUAAAGAGCUCGUAGGCGGCUUGUCGCGUCGUCCGUGAAAACCCACAGCUCAACUGUGGGCUUGCGGUCGAUACGGGCAGGCUAGAGUUCGGUAGGGGAGACUGGAAUUCCUGGUGUAGCGGUGAAAUGCGCAGAUAUCAGGAGGAACACCGGUGGCGAAGGCGGGUCUCUGGGCUGUUGCUGACGCUGAGGCGCGACAGCGUGGGGGAGCAAACAGG